GAUAAACACUGGCGGCGUGCUUUAUGCAUGCAAGUCGUACGGUACUUUACUCUUCGGAGUAAAGGAGAGUGGCAAACGGGUGAGUAACACGCAAGUAACCUGCCCCUAAGUAGGGGAUAACUCCGAGAAAUUGGAGCUAAUACCUUAUGUGGUGAUGGAGGUAAGGCACCAUCACUAAAGCCGCAAGGCGCUUGGGGAGGGGCUUACGGCCUAUCAGGUAGUUGGUGGGGUAACGGCUCACCAAGCUUUUGACGGGUAGCUGGUCUGAGAGGAUGGUCAGCCACACUGGGACUGAGACACGGCCCAGACUCCUACGGGAGGCAGCAGCAAGGAAUAUUGUGCAAUGGGCGAAAGCCUGACACGGCGACGCCGCGUGGGGGAUGAAGGCUUUCGGGUUGUAAACCCCUUUUCUCAGGGAAGAACAAUGACGGUACCUGAGGAAUAAGUCUCGGCUAACUACGUGCCAGCAGCCGCGGUAAGACGUAGGAGACGAGCGUUAUCCGGAUUUACUGGGCGUAAAGCGGGCGUAGGCGGUCCUUCAAGUCGGAUGUGAAAUCUCCCGGCUCAACUGGGAGGCGCCAUUCGAUACUGUUGGGCUAGAGGGCAGCAGAGGGAAGUGGAAUUCCCGGUGUAGUGGUGAUAUGCGUAGAUAUCGGGAGGAACACCAGAGGCGAAGGCGGCUUCCUGGGCUGUUGCUGACGCUGAGGCCCUAAAGCGUGGGGAGCGAACAGGAUUAGAUACCCUGGUAGUCCACGCUAUAAACGAUGGACACUAGGUAUGGGGAGUAUCGACCCUCUCCGUGCCGAAGCUAACGCCUUAAGUGUCCCGCCUGGGGACUACGGCCGCAAGGCUA
rnacentral:rRNA from 1 species